GCCUGGGUGGCGGAAUGGCAGACGCGCCAGAUUCAGAAUCUGGUGUCCUUCGGGGCGUGAGGGUUCAAGUCCCUCUCCAGGUAC
rnacentral:tRNA from 1 species